rnacentral:rRNA from 1 species
AUUGAACGUUGGCGGCAGGCCUAAAACAUGCAAGUCGAACGGUAACAGCGGGAGCUUGCUCCCGGCUGACGAGUGGCGGACGGGUGAGUAACACGUAGGAAUCUACCUAGUAGUGGGGGACAACCCGGGGAAACCCGGGCCAAUACCGCAUACGCUCUAUGGAGGAAAGCGGUGGAUCGUAAGACCUCGCGCUAUUGGAGGAGCCUGCGUCGGAUUAGCUAGUUGGUGGGGUAAAGGCAUACCAAAGCGACGAUCCGUAGCUGGUCUGAGAGGACAAUCGGCCCCACUGGAACUGAGACACGGUCCAGACUCCUACGGGAGGCAGCAGUUAGGAAUCUUGGGCAAUGGCCGCAAGCCGGACCCAGCCAUGCCGGGUGUGUGAAUAAGGCCUUCGGGUUGUAAAGCACUUUCAGCGGUGAAGAAAAGCUCAGGGCUAAUACCCUUUGAGUCUUGACGUUAGCCACAGAAGAAGCACCGGCUAACUCCGUGCCAGCAGCCGCCGUAACAC